UGCAGCGAUGCCGCGUGAGUGAAGAAGGCCUUUGGGUUGUAAAGCUCUUUCGUCGGGGAAGAAAAUGACUGUACCCGAAUAAGAAGGUCCGGCUAACUUCGUGCCAGCAGCCGCGGUAAUACGAAGGGACCUAGCGUAGUUCGGAAUUACUGGGCUUAAAGAGCUCGUAGGUGGUUAAAAAAGUUGGUGGUGAAAUCCCAGAGCUUAACCCUGGAACUGCCAUCAAAACUUUUUAACUAGAGUAUGAUAGAGGAAAGUAGAAUUUCUAGUGUAGAGGUGAAAUUCGUAGAUAUUAGAAAGAAUACCAAUUGCGAAGGCAACUUUCUGGAUCAUUACUGACACUGAGGAGCGAAAGCAUGGGUAGCGAAGAGGAUUAGAUACCCUCGUAGUCCAUGCCGUAAACGAUGUGUGCUAGACGUUGGAAAUUUAUU
rnacentral:rRNA from 1 species